UGGAUCAUGCCAAAAGGAAAGAAGGGAUAGCCUUAACAUACGUGAGCCGAUUCAUUUGACAAUCCCUCUAACACACGUCUUUUGUGAUAAAACAUGUAACAUCGGAUUGAAAUAAGGAUAAAUUCAUAUGAUAUUCUUGAGAAAGGUUUUACCGGGUUCCCUUAGAAUUUGCAAUUCACAUUGUUAUAGCAUUCUAAGGGUCCAUAUGG
rnacentral:lncRNA from 1 species